UUGGAGGGCAAGUCUGGUGCCAGCAGCCGCGGUAAUUCCAGCUCCAAUAGCGUAUAUUAAAGUUGUUGCAGUUAAAAAGCUCGUAGUUGAAUUUCGGGAUCAGUACGCUGGUCAUGCCUUUGGUAUGCACUGGUGUCACUGGUUUCUCCCUUCUGAAGAUCCGUGAUGUCAUUAAUUUGGUGUCGCGGGGAAUCAGGACUGUUACUUUGAAAAAAUUAGAGUGUUUAAAGCAGGCUCACGCUUGAAUACAUUAGCAUGGAAUAAUGAAAUAGGACGUUUGACCCUAUUUUGUUGGUUUCUAGGAUCGACGUAAUGAUUAAUAGGGAUAGUUGGGGGCAUUAGUAUUCAAUUGUCAGAGGUGAAAUUCUUGGAUUUAUUGAAGACUAACUACUGCGAAAGCAUUUGCCAAGGAUGUUUUCAUUAAUCAAGAACGAAAGUUAGGGGAUCGAAGACGAUCAGAUACCGUCGUAGUCUUAACCAUAAACUAUGCCGACUAGGGAUCGGAUGAUGUUAAUUUUAUAAUGACUCAUUCGGCGCCUUACGGGAAAC
rnacentral:rRNA from 1 species